AGCGAACGCUGGCGGCAGGCUUAACACAUGCAAGUCGAGCGGGCCUUUCGGGGUUAGCGGCGGACGGGUGGGUAACGCGUGGGAACGUGCACUCUGGUUCGGAAUAACUCAGGGAAACUUGAGCUAAUACCGGAUACGCCCUUUUGGGGAAAGGCUUGCUGCGGGAGGAUCGGCCCGCGUCUGCUUAGCUAGUUGGUGAGGUAACGGCUCACCAAGGCGACGAUCAGUAGCUGGUCUGAGAGGAUGCUCGACCACACUGGGACUGAGACACGGCCUAGACUCCUACGCGAGGCAGCAGUGGGGAAUACUGUGCGAGGAGCGCAGGCCUGAUCCAGCCAUGCCGCGUGAGUGAUGAAGGCCUUAGGGUUGUAAAGCUCUUUUUUCCGGGACGUUAAUGACGGUACCGGAGGAAUAAGCCCCGGCUAACUUCGUG
rnacentral:rRNA from 1 species